rnacentral:rRNA from 1 species
AGAAUCAACGCUGGCGGCGUGCCUAACACAUGCAAGUCGAACGGGAAAGUGGAGCAAUCCAUGAGUAUAGUGGCGACCGGGUGAGUAACACGUGACUAACCUACCCUUGAGUGGGGGAUAACCUCGGGAAACCGGGGCUAAUACCGCAUAACAUCUUCGGGAUGAGAAGCUGAAGAUCAAAGGAGCAAUUCGCUUUUCGGAGGGGGUCGCGGCUGAUUAGCUAGUUGGCGGGUAACGCCCACAAGGCUUUGAUCGGUA